rnacentral:rRNA from 1 species
UACGAAGGGUGCAAGCGUUACUCGGAAUUACUGGGCGUAAAGCGUGCGUAGGCGGUUUGUUAAGUCCGCUGUGAAAGCCCCCGGCUCAACUGGGGAGGGUCACGCGAUACUGCUCGACUCGAAGGCAGGAGAGGGAAGUGGAAUUCCCGGUGUAGUGGUGAAAUGCGUAGAUAUCGGGAGGAACACCAGUGGCGAAGGCGACUUCCUGGCCUGUUCUUGACGCUGAGGCGCGAAAGCUAGGGUAGCAAACGGG